rnacentral:rRNA from 1 species
GACGAACGCUGGCGGCGUGCUUAACACAUGCAAGUCGAACGGAAAGGCCCUGCUUUUGUGGGGUGCUCGAGUGGCGAACGGGUGAGUAACACGUGAGUAACCUGCCCUUGACUUUGGGAUAACUUCAGGAAACUGGGGCUAAUACCGGAUAGGAGCUCCUGCUGCAUGGUGGGGGUUGGAAAGUUUCGGCGGUUGGGGAUGUACUCGCGGCUUAUCAGCUUGUUGGUGGGGUAGUGGCUUACCAAGGCUUUGACGGGUAGCCGGCCUGAGAGGGUGACCGGACACAUUGGGACUGAGAGACGGCCCAGACUCCUAGGGGGGGCAGCAGUGGGGAAUAUUGCACAAUGGGCGGACGCCUGAUGCAGCAACGCCGCGUGCGGGAUGACGGCCUUCGGGGUGUAAACCGCUUUCGCCUGUGACGAAGCGUGAGUGACGGUAAUGGGUAAAGAAGCACCGGCUAACUACGUG